GGGAGUCGCAAGAGCUGUCGAUGACAGCACCCAGGUGGCCCGAACCUUAAAGGUCACGCCGCUCCCGCGGUGGUUCACCCGCAAGUACGAUUCGCGUCCGGCAGCUCGUACGGUCACUACCCAUGUGAUGGAUGC
rnacentral:ncRNA from 1 species